rnacentral:lncRNA from 1 species
ACGUAGUAGCAUCCAUCAGCGGUGGCAUCUGGCUCCAAAGAUCCACCAUCUAGUUGCAUCAACCAGAAAGAAGAAAGAAGGGGGAAAGGGGUAGCAAAGCAACCGUGAGUACUCGUCCAAAGUACUCGCAAGCAUCAGAUCUAUACUAAGUAUGCACAGGUAUCAAAUGGAAGGUUUGUAUCUGUGGACUGAACUGCAGAAUGCCAGAAUAGAGGGGAGGGCCUAGCCUAUCGAAGACUGGCAUCUUCAAGCAGCUUCAAGCAUCUUGCAGCAUGUAGAAGAGUAAAGAAUAGCAGUUUAUAAUUAACAAACAUGUUGUAACAUUAACGCCCAGAGAUCCUUCCUCGACUCCCUGUGAGAAAGCAAUCCCGGAGCCACAUACUCAAGUAUCAAUUUGUAGUUGUAUAAGAUCAGGAUAUAAGUCUGAACGUCCAUUACCGUGGACACGGUAUUCGAAUAUAUAACUUCCCUGCAGGGGUGCACCACGUUACCCAACACGCUCGAUCACUCUGGCCGGACACACCUUUCUGGGGUCAAUGCCCGCCCUAGGAAGAUCAACACGUCGCAGCCCUACCUAGGCUCAGCAGAGAGGUCCCCGCCGGUCUACAUCCUAAGCACUCCGGGGUCUUGGGCCCAUCGCCCGUAGCACUCCGAGUCGUUGUGAGCAGGGUGGAUACCAGCACCUCCUCGGAUGGCCAGCACGAUCCGACCGUGCCACACUGCUGAACUGGACGUCUGACAAAGCUUUAGCUGAUACUGCGACGUCGAGGCCCAUAUCUAUUCUCGCAUGGUGGUUAGUGCGUAAAGACCACAGGCCAACUCAGAACAAAUACCCAAACCAUAGUGUAUUAUUAGCUUGCGGAGACGAGCAGAGACUCACGAUCAAAAGUGACCCUGUCGCCCCGUCUCGUGGACUUACGACAAGGGCCUAGAAUCACGCACGGAGGAUUCCACUCGAUGUAAUCAUCAAGGUGAACGUAAGAGGGACCACCCUCGAGGUUCACACUUGAGGUGUUAAACGAUAGAGCCGUAUCGGGAAUGGUGAAAGAGGAAAUCACCCUCGAUGACCAGGACCGAAUAGCUACACUACAGAAUUAUCAUUAGGAGUGUGUUAUGAGGGAUCACUCUCGGCACUCGACAGUAGCUCUGCAGAGUCGAGCAACAAAAGGGGCGUGAUGUGAUGUGAGGUGUCGGGCUCUAGUCAUCGAUCACACUGAUCGAGUCGUCGAUGAUGAAGCAGGGGCAACAAGGACAAGGUGGGGGUCACCGAUGGAUCACUAACCAACCUAUACUAAGCAGUUUAGGAUAAGCAGGUAGGUAACAAUAGCAGGUACAAAAGCAGGCUAUGCAUCAGAAUAGGAGCAAACAAUAACAGUAGCAAAAUCUAAUGCAAGCAUGAGAGUAUAGAAUGGGCGAUAUCGGGAUGAUCAAAGGGGGGGCUUGCCUGGUUGCUCAGACAAGGAGGGUCGUCGUCGACGUAGUCGAUCACAGGGGCAUCAGCAGCGGUCUCGGGGUCUACCGGAGAGAAGAAGGGGAAGAAACAGUAAAUACAUAGCAGGCAAGUGCAUAACAAGACAAUAAGCGGGGCUAGAAGUGUUCUAACGCCACGGUAGGCGGUACUGGCGAAGGGGGAAACAUCCGGGAAUGUUUUCCCGGUUCCGGACGUCUAUCAGACAGAUGAACCGGAGGGGAAAGGUUGCAUGUUCGCUAUGCUAGGGACGUGUGGCUGGCAAACAGACCGCGUAUUCAGAUUCGUCUCAUCGUUUUGAGCAACUAUCAUGUAGAAAACAUUUUCAUCCGAGUUACAGAUUAUCUUAAAUUAAAUUUCUAAGUUUAACACAUUUUCCCGAAAUUCUGGAUUUAUUACAAUUCAAAAAUAAACUUAGGAUAUACUUAUUAUACCUACUAUGGGGUAGCCAUAGUGGAUGAUAGGUGGGACCAGGGGGGUCCAGUUGACUCAGUCAAUAGUCCAUAGUCAACUGUUUGACUAUUGACUGGUCAAAACUGCCGCUAGGGCCCAGGUGUCAUUCUCACAUAUUCAACAUUUUCUUUUUAAGUGGAUAUAGACUAGUAUUUUAAUAGGUUUAUUUAACUCGCCAAAUUAGCAAUGGGGACCCACAAGUCAUCUGGACAUAGACUAAUCUAGCCACUAAUUAAUCCUUCUAGCUAAACCUAGUACUAACAAGGGUCGGCCACUACUGGGCAGAACCCAGCCGGCCACUCGCACAGACACACACACAACACACAACACAGGGAGAAGUUAAAUCUGUUCUCUAUUAGCAGAAGAUGGCAAUUUGUGAUUUUCAUAUGAUUUAAACCAUGCAUCAGAUGGAUUUGGUCCAAUGAACAAAUUUGAGCCUUGCAAGUGUACUACCAUCCCAUAUUUUUUUAGACAUAUUAACAACUGUUUAACCGCUGAUUAGGGGCUGUUUAGGGGCUUAGUAACUGUAGAAAUAGAAAAGCUAGCAACAUCUAAAGUAGCUAGCAACUAGCAGCGUAUAGGCGGCAUCGGUGGGUACGAACAACGGCGGCGCCAACACGCAGCUGGGACGCACGCGAGAGGCAGCGGCUAAGGGCGCGGGCCGGCACGGCUGGGUGCGUGCGCGGGUGUGCAAGGCAGCGGCAGUGAACGGGUAGAGGUGGCCGUGCGCGUUGCAGGGAACGGCCGGAGCAGGCACACGUGCGGCCUCGGGUGAGCUCCGGACGACGGGAGCGCAGCGGCGGGCCUGUGCGGGGUGAGCAGGGGUGCCGUGUAAGCAGUAGGGAGCCGCAUGGGCGAACAAUGAGCGAGGCAGUUGGGGUCGGGCGCGGUCGUGGUGGCGGUGGCCGCGACCACCGGCCGGAACUAGGCGGCACGGGGCGAUGACGGAGAAUGAACGAAGGAGAAGACUAGCAGGGGACGGCAUGAUGCUCACCAGAGGAGCGCAAGAAGGCCCGUUGAUAGGCUUAGUAGCAGCAGAGCAGGGGGUCGAAGCGACGAGGUUUCGGCGACCACGGGUGUUGACGGAGACGACGAGGCCGUUGCACUGCUCCCCGAGACGAAGCAGAGUACCAGCUCGACGAAGACGAGGGAGGCGAAGCUCAUGGACACAAGCUAUGGG